AGAGCCGGGAUUCGAACCCAUGACCUCUGACUCCAAAGCCCGUGCUCUUUCCACUGAGCCACGCUGCUUCUCCGGUCUGAUUUCUGGUGUCUCUGCCCGGUGUGUCCGCAGAUGUUCAGUCGAUGGAGUCCUGAGCCUAACCCGGGCACCCCUGCUGACUCUACUCUUUGGUUGGGGGAAGUGCGUCGGCAGCCGUCUCCGACGGAAAAAUUCAGUUACAUCGAAUGAGAAAUGAUCCUGGCAGUGGAGUGAAGUAUGGACCGGAGUGGGGAGAGACAGGAGAGCGAGGUUAAAGGCUCGGCGUAUCCCUGGACUGCCAGGCUGGACGGGGACCGAGGACACCGCUGCCCCGUAGGUCCCAGGAGGAGCUAAUGAAUCUUGGCCUCUCUUCCUCCCGACAAGCUGUGUUUUCUCGUGUGACCAGUUAGGUUUUCUUUCCCAUCGGCCCUCCUGCCGAUCUGUAAUUAAAUUCAGGGGAACCGAUCCCCGGGGGAGAAUGUGGAGAAAAGUGAUCGGCCGCGGGCCCCCGGGACAAAUAUCAUUCUGGAGAACGGGGCCUGCCCAUUCAGCAGGGUGACAGUGUGAAAAGAGGAGUAAAGAGCCCAGCUGGGAGGUGGGAGAUCUGGGUUCUAGUCCACCACCGGCCUGUUGCGUGACCUUGGACAGGUCACUUAACCCCUCUGGACCUGUUUUCUCACUGGCGAUACCUACCUCUCCCCGUCUCAAAGGGAAGCGGAGGGGUGAAAGCCCCUUGGCAUGAUACAAGCACUGGGCAAAUUCCAAGGUGUGGUUGCUCCCCAAAUGUCUACAGCACAAACAGUUGGAUCCCCUGGGAUUUCCAUAAUUAUCCAAGUCCAGAAAGUGUUGUGAACCCCCAAAAUGUCCUCACGUUUCCUCUCCAGCAAGGAUCUUGUCAUUACACCCCAACUUCAUCACUGCGAUUACCCUCUUUUUACGUUUUGUUUACGUCUCUUUCCCCCGUUAGAGUGUAAACUCCUUGUGAGCAGGGAGCGUGUCUCGGGUUUUCUGCCGUUCUCUCCCGAGAGCUCAGUGGGGUGGACCUCACCCAGCGGGCGCGCAAAUAAAUGUUAUCCGACCACUACUACUGGACAAUCCA